UACGUAGGGGGCAAGCGUUGUCCGGAAUUAUUGGGCGUAAAGAGCGCGUAGGCGGUCCGAUAAGUCGGCUGUGAAAGUCAGGGGCUCAACCCUUGGAAGCCGGCCGAUACUGUCGGACUAGAGUCCGGAAGAGGCGAGUGGAAUUCCCGGUGUAGCGGUGAAAUGCGCAGAUAUCGGGAGGAACACCGAUGGCGAAGGCAGGUCUCUGGGCAUUAACUGACGCUGAGGAGCGAAAGCAUGGGGAGCGAACAGG
rnacentral:rRNA from 1 species